rnacentral:rRNA from 3 species
AGAAAGCGUAAUAGCUCACUGGUCGAGUCGGCCUGCGCGGAAGAUGUAACGGGGCUAAACCAUGCACCGAAGCUGCGGCAGCGACACUGUGUGUUGUUGGGUAGGGGAGCGUUCUGUAAGCCUGUGAAGGUGUGUCGUGAGGCAUGCUGGAGGUAUCAGAAGUGCGAAUGCUGACAUAAGUAACGAUAAAGCGGGUGAAAAGCCCGCUCGCCGGAAGACCAAGGGUUCCUGUCCAACGUUAAUCGGGGCAGGGUGAGUCGACCCCUAAGGCGAGGCCGAAAGGCGUAGUCGAUGGGAAACGGGUUAAUAUUCCCGUACUUGGUGUUACUGCGAAGGGGGGACGGAGAAGGCUAUGUUGGCCGGGCGACGGUUGUCCCGGUUUAAGCGUGUAGGUGUGUGUUCCAGGUAAAUCCGGUUCACUUUAACACUGAGGCGUGACGACGAGGCACUACGGUGCUGAAGCAACAAAUGCCCUGCUUCCAGGAAAAGCCUCUAAGCAUCAGGUAACAUCAAAUCGUACCCCAAACCGACACAGGUGGUCAGGUAGAGAAUACCAAGGCGCUUGAGAGAACUCGGGUGAAGGAACUAGGCAAAAUGGUGCCGUAACUUCGGGAGAAGGCACGCUGACACGUAGGUGAAGUGAUUUACUCAUGGAGCUGAAGUCAGUCGAAGAUACCAGCUGGCUGCAACUGUUUAUUAAAAACACAGCACUGUGCAAACACGAAAGUGGACGUAUACGGUGUGACGCCUGCCCGGUGCCGGAAGGUUAAUUGAUGGGGUCAGCGCAAGCGAAGCUCCUGAUCGAAGCCCCGGUAAACGGCGGCCGUAACUAUAACGGUCCUAAGGUAGCGAAAUUCCUUGUCGGGUAAGUUCCGACCUGCACGAAUGGCGUAAUGAUGGCCAGGCUGUCUCCACCCGAGACUCAGUGAAAUUGAACUCGCUGUGAAGAUGCAGUGUACCCGCGGCAAGACGGAAAGACCCCGUGAACCUUUACUAUAGCUUGACACUGAACAUUGAGCCUUGAUGUGUAGGAUAGGUGGGAGGCUUUGAAGUGUGGACGCCAGUCUGCAUGGAGCCGACCUUGAAAUACCACCCUUUAAUGUUUGAUGUUCUAACGUGGACCCGUUACCCGGGUUGCGGACAGUGUCUGGUGGGUAGUUUGACUGGGGCGGUCUCCUCCUAAAGAGUAACGGAGGAGCACGAAGGUUGGCUAAUCCUGGUCGGACAUCAGGAGGUUAGUGCAAUGGCAUAAGCCAGCUUGACUGCGAGCGUGACGGCGCGAGCAGGUGCGAAAGCAGGUCAUAGUGAUCCGGUGGUUCUGAAUGGAAGGGCCAUCGCUCAACGGAUAAAAGGUACUCCGGGGAUAACAGGCUGAUACCGCCCAAGAGUUCAUAUCGACGGCGGUGUUUGGCACCUCGAUGUCGGCUCAUCACAUCCUGGGGCUGAAGUAGGUCCCAAGGGUAUGGCUGUUCGCCAUUUAAAGUGGUACGCGAGCUGGGUUUAGAACGUCGUGAGACAGUUCGGUCCCUAUCUGCCGUGGGCGCUGGAGAACUGAGGGGGGCUGCUCCUAGUACGAGAGGACCGGAGUGGACGCAUCACUGGUGUUCGGGUUGUCAUGCCAAUGGCACUGCCCGGUAGCUAAAUGCGGAAGAGAUAAGUGCUGAAAGCAUCUAAGCACGAAACUUGCCCCGA